UUGGUCUAGGGGUAUGAUUCUCGCUUUGGGUGCGAGAGGUCCCGGGUUCAAAUCCCGGACGAGCCCGCUGUUUGUUUUUUUUCGAACACCAUCAUUUUCUCACGGUGAAGAUUGAGGACCUUCACGGAGUCCCGGCCGCAGGGAACUUGGUCUCUCCGUGGCAGCUGCAGGCGCCGGGGCCGAUCCGACUUCCCGCUUCCGUCCGGCUUGCGACCCCUCGCCUUGCCCGGCUACAGGCAGGACUCGCCUGCGCCUCCUGACCGGAGCCUUCCACCUGGGAGUUCUGAGCUGGAGUGCUGGAGUGCUGGAGUGCAGUGGUGCGAUCUCGGCUCACUGCAACCUCAACCUCCCAAACUCAAGGGAUCCUCCCACCUCCACCUCCCAAGUAGCUGGGACUACAGGUCCUGAGGUCGCAGCGGCGCGUCCCUCCGGUACAUGGCGGGGAAGAGGUGCGGUUCCGGGAGCCUGCGACGCCUCUGGGGAGUCCAAGCCCGGCUCCUAGCCCUUUGCCCGAGGACGGAGGAGGACCUGGGGGGCUUCCCCUAGCUGAUGGUCUCAGUUCUCCAGGGGCGGCGGAGAGAGCAGGAAGCCCCAAAACCCGAGCUGGGUUUCCUGUUUGGAGUCGCAAGGUGUGGCAAUGUUGAAGUUCGCCGUGCCCCUGCUCCCCAUGGGAAUUAGAAUCCGGUCCAGGACCAGCAUCGGGAAAGGGGGACAGUUUGUGACCGAGGAAACUAGGACUGAUCCAGAACAGCGAAGGCAGAGACGCGCUGGGCUCAUGAAGCGCGACAAACGCCCUGACCCCUCUUCCGCUUGGCUCGUUGGUCUAGGGGUGUGGUUCUCACUUAGGGACCACAGGGACAAGCCCGGGAAACCCAAGAGGUCCCGGGUUCAAAUCCCGGACGAGCCCACACUUUAAGA